UAUGUUAGGCAGCUGGAGGCCAGAGUCAGACAGCUGGAGGAAGAGAAUCGCAUGCUGCCCCAGGUUGUGUGGAGGAAACUUGGAGAUGCUGCAGGUUCGUGUCCUGGGAUUAGGCAGCAUUUGUCUGGAAACCAGUACAAAGGACCAAUGUGAGAAACAUGCUUUCAAACAUGAGGUCACCACUGCCAGAAACAGAUAACAGAAAAGAAGAGUGGAUUUCCACAAACCUGAACUCAUGGAAUAACAUGGAGUGAUUGUACAUUGCACAUAUUUUCCCUCUAAAAACCUUUAGUAUAACUAAAGCUGUAUUUUAUGUCUCUCGCUUUGAUGUCUACAAUAGUCAAUUUCAAACAAGGUAGCUUUGAAAGUCACCAUUUUGGUACCAAUAUUUUCAUUAGAACAAAACGUUUUUGACUCCUUAGAUCUAAGAUUAUAAUCGGGAAACACGCAUGAUUGGAAGAGUACAGUAGAGCCUUGGUGGUUUUGAUAGAGUUGAAACAUAGCAUUUAAUGGUGGGAGUUUUCUACCAUGUUGUACUGAAGAUAAGAAGAGGUAGGUAUCUUCCACCUUCCCAAGAUUGAGAGUUCUGAGUACCUAUUUCUUAUAUUUUAGUCAACAAAAUACUAGUUCCUGAUGCAUAAUUUAGAUGCAAGAUAAGAUUAGAUUUCCGGGAUUUUGUUCUGACUUUUGAGGUGCUACACUACUACAUAAAUUCUCUUUACCAGCUGGUAGCAAGACUUUGUAGAGUGCUUAUCAGAGAGUACCAUUUAUUUCAAAUGCUCAAAAUAAAUUUCUUUUAAUCCUGAUGUAUUUUUCAUGAAGACACUUCUUGGGACAUGUCAUCCUCCAUCGUCACCCAGUGUAUCAAUUGAUAAUAUUAACUAUUUCAAGAACAAGCAAACAACUUUUCUAAGUGUUUUCAGCUGUGAGAUGUCAAUUUCUACAAUUUAGUUUCUAGACAUGCUGUUAUAUUUAAUAAACUUCAUGUAAACUUUUAAAUAUUGCACUGCAUUUAUGAAAACAGCAGCUAAUGUUUUAUGAAACUGGCGCAUGUCCUUCAUUGAGGCUAAAAGCUUUGUUCAGAUUGCCUGAGGUUUGAAAAAGAGGUGUGCUAGCUUUGCUUAGUUUAUUUCUAAAUUUUGGUAUAUAUAAUAUUAGACUGUGUGUACUGAAAAUGCUAUGAUAGGUAUUUUGUGUUUACUCAAAUGCAAUGAUAGUUUCCUGUAUGAAUGUGCAAGAGGCUUGUGACAGAAUGCUAAGUUUUUACUGUAGUUUAAGGUUAUAAAAGUAGGAAUGCAACAAUUACCAGUCUUCUUCUAAAUUACUCAUAUUUGAUUCAUAGCAGAUACUCUCUAUUGUUGUUUUUAAAUGGGCUUAUUACACAGUUUAUUAAUUGUCAUUGGUGAAGGGAUUUUAUUAUAGUUUUUAAAUUGUGAUAAAAGCCAGUCCUCUGCUUUCAGAAAAUAUUUAUGAGUUAAUUUAUUAUAGACUGAUCUCUCUAAUUAUCAUAAUUGGGUUACCAUUUAAGCCUAUCUUUCUUUUUAUAUUUUUAAAAUAUUACUACUCUGUAAAAGAAAAUUGCUUGCUAUAUUUACACCUUCUCUUGUUAGAAAAGCUUUCAUCCCUAAAUUGUUGUAUUCCUACACUCUGAAGACACAUUUAAAAUAAGUUUUUGUGCCUGCAGAAGCUAAUACAAGGAACACUGGUCUUUUGACAAAAUACUUGUGUAAAUUUUGAUACUGUAUUAAAACUAUUUUUUUAAAGUUCCACAUAAAAUGGAGUAUCAAGUAUGUGUUCAUCUUAGCACUGGUAAUAAAUUAUUUAAUCUCA